AGAGUUUGAUCCUGGCUCAGGAUGAACGCUAGCGGCAGGCUUAACACAUGCAAGUCGAGGGGUAACAGGGAGUAGCAAUACUCCGCUGACGACCGGCGCACGGGUGCGUAACGCGUAUGCAACCUACCUGUAACAGGGGUAUAACGGAGGGAAACUUCCACUAAUCCCCCCAUAUUGUUGUGGAUUCGCAUGUUUCCACAACGAAAGCUUUCUGUGGUUACGGAUGGGCAUGCGUGACAUUAGCUAGUUGGUAAGGCAACGGCUUACCAAGGCGACGAUGUCUAGGGGAGCUGAGAGGCUUAUCCCCCACACUGGUACUGAGACACGGACCAGACUCCUACGGGAGGCAGCAGUGAGGAAUAUUGGUCAAUGGACGGAAGUCUGAACCAGCCAUGCCGCGUGGAGGAAGAAGGUCCUAUGGGUUGUAAACUCCUUUUGCUCCAGAGUAAUAAGGUCCCUGCGGGGGUCGAUGAGAGUAUGGGGCGAAUAAGCAUCGGCUAACUCCGUGCCAGCCGCCGC
rnacentral:rRNA from 1 species